CUGGAGCUGGCUGUGGACAAGAUGGUCACGUGCAUUGCGGUGGGGCUGCCCCUGCUGCUCAUCUCGCUGGCCUUCGCGCAGGAGAUCUCGAUUGGUACACAGAUAAGCUGUUUCUCUCCAAGUUCUUUCUCCUGGCGUCAGGCUGCCUUUGUGGAUUCAUAUUGCUGGGCGGCUGUUCAGCAGAAGAACUCACUGCAGAGCGAGUCUGGAAACCUCCCACUGUGGCUGCAUAAGCCAGCUAUGAAUUAUGCAGCCAAAAUUCAGCUAAUCACAGCCUGCUUUGUGUGUCAUUGUGU
rnacentral:lncRNA from 1 species